rnacentral:rRNA from 1 species
AAAUUAAGCAUAUAAGUUGGCAGAGGAAGUGACACAAAAGUGGACUCACACAGUAGUUGCGAACGAAGAGUGAAAGACUCAAUUCGAAAUGUGUGGGUUUCUGCCCAUGACAUGAAAUCUCCGAAUGUGUGACUAAGGGUGGUGCAGGUGUGAGCCAUCUUGCAAGAGGGGAGGGCGUGCAUCAACAAGGGUGAGAAUCCUGUGUGUUGCUUGCAGACUUCUGUGUACAGUGCCCAUUUUCAGAAUCAUGCUCUUUGGAACUGGAGUGCAAAGUGGGUGGUAGCUCCCACUCAAAGUCGAACAUGACAUUGGGACUGACAGGGGAGAAGUACCGUGAGGGAAGCGUGAAAAGGACUUUGGAAAGAGAUUUAAAAGAGCCUGCACUUGCUGAGUGCCAAGCACACAGGAUGGCAGAGGUGGGAGAGAUUGCUGCGUGCGUGUGCAAUUCUGGCUGUCACCAGACAGGAGCUUGCCAUGCAUGCUUGUGCUGCAUGUGGAGAUUCUUUUCUUGAGUGCCAGUAUGUAUGUAUGUAGUCGAUGCCUGUUGGCAUUGCUUGUGGUGUAUCCUGGGAUAUGUGAUUGUGUGUGCCUUGUCUGAACGUGCCGAAGGCUCUGUUGCACUGUGACCCAAGCUAUCAGCAUGCCUGUCUGUAUUCACUGUUGGGGAGUCCAUGACCAGUGUGUUUGCGGUGAGCUCCAUUCUGUGUGACCCGUCUUUGAAACACAGACCAAGGAGUCUAGCAUAGUUGCAAGCUUUGUGGGGGAGAGAACUCAGUGCACAAUGAAGGUGGAGUCCCAGAGUGGGCAUGAGUGUUCAACCAAGCAGCAGGAUGAGGUUUGAGCCUGAGUAUGCCCGCUAGGACCCGAAAGAUGGUGAACUAUGCCUGGGAAGGGCAAAG